rnacentral:rRNA from 1 species
AAGUCAGAUGUGAAAGCCCGGGGCUCAACCUCGGAAUUGCAUUUGAAACUGGCAGACUAGAGUACUGUAGAGGGGGUAGAAUUUCAGGUGUAGCGGUGAAAUGCGUAGAGAUCUGAAGGAAUACCGGUGGCGAAGGCGGCCCCCUGGACAGAUACUGACACUCAGAUGCGAAAGCGUGGGGAGCAAACAGGAUUAGAUACCCUGGUAG